UCCAUUUUUGGUUUCAGGACAUCAACUUUCACUAUUAGGUGGAUUUCUGUAGAAAUGUUUGCCUUUGUGAUUUUUUAUGCUCAUUUAAUGGUAGUGGAGUAAAAUGCUUCAAAGAAACAUUCCACGGGUGUGUAAAACUUAUCUUGGUUAUCGCGUUCAUGAAGUAAUUCAACAAGAGAGGUCAUCUGGACUGUCAACUGCCAGAUUGUGAUGACAAUGGGCCAUUUCACAUGGAUCCAACACCUCUUCAUAUGGGGCAGCAUCUGCACUACGUAGGUCAUGCACCAAGCUAGCAAAGUUCCCUACUUAUUGGGCCUUGAUUUUCAUGACCUAUUGUAGCUAGCAAUGCAGAAUUUCUGAGUUUGCCACUUGAGAGUCUUGUGUAUGUUGCCAAAUUGGAUAAAUCACGAGGAACACAUGCAAGACCCAGUCAUCGGAAUCCGUAAGUUAAUCAUGCACUAAGCUAGCAAAGUUCCUUUUUGCUUGCUUAACAGUCUACCCAGUUUUGAAACUUCUGAGGUGGGAGAUAAUUUUAUACCAUGUAAGUAUUCAUCUAAGGUUUUCAAUGAUUUUUUGAAACUACAUUCAUUACUUUAUCUUUGUGCUCUUGUAAAUUCAUUACUUUUUAUAGUAGUUUGAGCUUGUCUAUGCAUGUAUAUUUAUUUUGUCCAGCCAGAUGAUAUGCACUGCUAACAUCCACACCUUCAUGUGGACUUUAACACAUCCACACUUUCACAUGGCACAUUGAUGCAUACUGUCCAUUUGUGCUAUACCACUAUUGGAAAGCCAUGUUACAAAAAUCACUCCAGUUGUAUGAUUUAACCAUUCCUCUCCUUUUCCUGGCUCGUUUGAGUAAUGGCUUCACACACCGUUGAUCAUUGCCAAAGCUAGCCACACGAUGAGGUAGAGAGUUGGCCGUCCAUUCGUCUUUCUUCAUAGUAACAACCGAUCAUUCUCUUCUACAAGGGGACCUAAAGACGAACGAGAUCAGGAGCAGAUAUAUUCCAUAUCAAGGGUGUUGGAGAGCAGAGUAUUGAAACAUGGUACUGGUUUUUUUAAACAAGGUAAUUCCCAGAGUCAUUUGUUUCUUAUUCUUUUGGUGUCAUGUGCUGCAGACCGGAUUAAUAGAAAAUGUAUAUUGCAUCUUUAUUUUUUCCCUCCUAUGAGAAUGGGUUUGGUAAUGGUGGCAAUAGUCUAUUUCAACUGAUUAUGCUUUUCCAUGAACUUGAUCAUCAUUCAUGAAAAUGAUAACCUCAUGAAGUUUUUAAUUUCUACAAGUUUACUGUUCAUGCACAUAGGCAGCCAUCUAAUGCCGCCACAUCUGCUAGCAUGGCACAAAGGUGUGAAUUCAUCAGGUGGCUCCACUAUGUAGAUGCACCAGUCCUAAAAUUAGGCUUGCCCACUCAUCAUGUUGCACCAGCCCUAAACUCUUGGUCGCAUGCAGAACCAGUGGCAGAGAAUUGUCAAUCAUUUGUCUGAGUUUGGGUUAUCAUUCGCUUUAACAUCUUAUGCUGGAAAUGUGCAGCUUGAGGUAGUCAAGAAGUUAUGGUUGCAAGGUUUGUAUCUAAAGCUAUUGGAAGGGGUCAGGCAAGGGCUGAAACUGAAGCAGCUACAAAGGCUGUCAUUGAUUCCAAGAACCAUGAAAUUUCACUGCUGCAAGAUAAGGUGCAGUACUAUGAAGUUGUGUGCCAUGAGAUGUGCCAGAGGAAUCAAGAAGUUAAAGGGUUCCCUAUUGUCCUCAUAUAGCCACAUCAAGUUUCUUCAUUUGCUUUGUCAGGAUUUCGCCCACAGGGCAGAGCUUUAAGUUCCCAAUAAAAUUUAUCAAAGAACAUGUUGCAAGCCUCUACCUCUGGCCAAAGGUCCUAGAAAUACCUAUUUUAGACAGUUCAAGGAAUUUGACUGAGCUGGACAUACAGGAGAAUGGGGUUGAUGAUCUUGGGGGCAGCUGGCUAAGUUGCUUCCCUGAAAGCUUCACAUCUAUGGAUGCUUUCAAAUUGUGGAAUCAGAUUCCAAAAUAAUUACCGUUGUUAUUUCAAAUCCUUAGCACCAGCCCAUACAGAGUAGAGGCUAUCAUACGAUUGAGAGUAGUCAUAAAUUUCAAGAUAGCCCAUUCCUUCAGAAAAGGUAUUUCUAUGGUGGAUGGCCUGGCUAAAGAUUCUAUUCAUGGUUGUUAGCUGGGCAUGCCUCUUCAAGAUUUCAGAGGGAUUUCAUUUUAUGCACUCAUGAAGAAUUGGAAUUCCAUUAAGAAUGCUUGUUGUGCUUCUUGUUUUGGCAUGCUUGUUUGCAGAAAAUUGAAAGCCUACCUACCGAUUUGCAACCCCAAAGAAAUCACCAAAGAAUAAACUAAUGUAUCGACUCACCAAUAGAAAGUUUCCCUAUGCAGGAAUCUAUUUAAUUCGUUUGAUAUAGCUAUGCAGGGGAGAGUCUCAUUGGAUUUCAACCUGUUUGUUUCUGCAGUAUGGAUUUCAUCUCUUUUGCAUGUUCCUUCCUGCAACUUUUCUAGAACAAUAUUUCUAUUUUAUUUGCUAUAGAUUUUCUGUUAUUUCAGGUCCAGGUAAGUUCUUUUAGGGCACAAUCCUGUGUAUAAACUAUCUCUAAAGCCCAACAGUCAACUAUGCCCAUUAAUCAGAGGCUAAAGCCUAAUUACAAGCCUGCAUUUACUCUUCUUUGGCCACGAGAUUUUUUUUUAGGUGGAUGCUUAUAUACAGUCUUUGCUCACAGGAUGGCAAAAUUGAAGCUGAAGUUAUACUCACUAGAAUUCUCAGCUUAGGAGCAUUGCAGCCUGGGGCAUCCAGAAAAUAUGGUACAACUAUUGCUCCUGGGUCAUAUGCACCAGUCCAUCAACACUUCUUUGUUGCUCGUAUGGACAUGGCCAUCGAUUGUAGGCCUAGUGAAACAUUCAAUCAGUUGUAUGAUCACUACACCAA